rnacentral:rRNA from 1 species
AUUGAACGCUGGCGGAAUGCUUUACACAUGCAAGUCGAACGGCAGCACGGACUUCGGUCUGGUGGCGAGUGGCGAACGGGUGAGUAAUAUAUCGGAACGUGCCCAGUCGUGGGGGAUAACGUAGCGAAAGUUACGCUAAUACCGCAUACGAUCUACGGAUGAAAGCGGGGGAUCGCAAGACCUCGCGCGAUUGGAGCGGCCGAUAUCAGAUUAGGUAGUUGGUGGGGUAAAGGCUCACCAAGCCAACGAUCUGUAGCUGGUCUGAGAGGACGACCAGACGCACUGGAACUGAGACACGGUCCAGACUCCUACGGGAGGCAGCAGUGGGGAAUUUUGGACAAUGGACGCAAGUCUGAUCCAGCCAUUCCGCGUGCAGGAUGAAGGCCCUCGGGUUGUAAACUGCUUUUGUACAGAACGAAAAGGCUCUUCCUAAUACGGAGGGCUCACGACGGUACUGUAAGAAUAAGCACCGGCUAACUACGUGCCAGCCGCCGCGGUAA